ACUCUCGGCAACGGAUAUCUCGGCUCACGCAUCGAUGAAGAACGUAGCAAAAUGCGAUACUUGGUGUGAAUUGCAGAAUCCCGUGAACCAUCGAGUUUUUGAACGCAAGUUGCGCCCAAAGCCAUUUGGUUGAGGGCACGUCUGCCUGGGCGUCACACAUCGUGUCGC
rnacentral:rRNA from 3 species